rnacentral:tRNA from 1 species
AAGGGAGACCUAAUUCCGGUAGGAGACGAAAAAAAAGUAGUCCCUACCAAGAAUCAAUCCCAAAAGGUCGGAGCGAGGCAAGAUUGGCUUUCAAACUAGGUUCUGGGUUCACACAAGACCUGAAUCAGGAACAAGGGCUAUUAGCUCAGGUGGUUAGAGCGCACCCCUGAUAAGGGUGAGGUCCCUGGUUCGAGUCCAGGAUGGCCCACCUGCACAGGUGGCAAAAACAAAGAAAARAAGCUCCGAAUCAGCACCUUAUCUUACUUAUAUAGUAAGAGAGAAUGCUGGCUCUGAGUUCAGAGUCCAGAGGAACCUUGAAAACUGCAUAGAGCUAGGUGAAAAAGCCAAAAAAGAAGACCGCAA